rnacentral:lncRNA from 1 species
AGCAACCGUAUAGUUGUACCAACCCCUUGAGGUAAGCCCUAACAGCAUUUUUUUUUUUUUUACAAAAAUAUUUAUUUAGCUAACCUAUCUAAUACGAAACAAAAUCGCCCAAUCAUCCUUACUUUUGCAAUACAGGAUACUUGCUUUUUAUUUUUUUAAUAAAAAAAAUCUUUUACGUAAUGUUGAUGUCGAAAUUUCUUGAAAUUUCUUAAUUGAAAAUUAAGUUAGGAUGUUAAUUAACGUGUUUUUUUGUCCGCAAAAUUGGCUUGAAACCUUCGGAAUUGCAAAUUUUUCAAAAGAAAAUAAUUGAGCUAACUUUCAGGGGGCAAGAAAAAGAUUUGAGGAUGCAAAACUUUGAUUUUUCUUUUUCUUCUUUUUGUAUAAAGGAGAGAAAUUACUGUCGACCUUUGCUAUAUCGCGAUCAACAUGUAUGUCGUAUUAGGUUAGAGCUAGAGCCCCCAAUGUUGGCUUUUGAAUAAUGGAUGGAACUUCCCAUUCCAUCAACUUCUCAAAAAAAAUUCCAUUCAUACAUAAAUUUCUUGAAAAUUGACAAACCAAAGGAGGUUGGCAUAAAAAAUCAUUAGUUUUCAACCACGAAAAAAGGACAAAGAAUUUAAAAACCUUCGCCUUUGGUGACGGAUAUUAAGUCGCUUUCCUAAUCAAAAUUUCUCUUUUGGAGGCUGCUAAAAGUUUUUAUUGUGUAUACUAUAGACCAUUUAGUGUUGUCAUUUGUCACGUACUUCAUCAAAAUUAAUGUUACACCAAUGUGGACCAAGUUUCCAGCAUUUCAAUCUUUAAUGAUGUGGAUAGAUAUUGGUCUAUUUCUUUGUUUUAUGUUCAAAUCAAUUUUUAAAUUAAAGGUGGCUACUUCUUUGGCUAAACUCAUACAUCAAUAUAUAAAUAUUACUUUGUAUUUUCCUUAUGAUGAUGAAAACCCUAGAAGAAAAUGAAAUUCUAGCUACAUAUAAUUUAUAUAGUUGGUUUUUUUCUCUCUCUCUUAACUAUUUACCAAAUUUUG